rnacentral:lncRNA from 1 species
GGGCACUUCUGUUCUCUCCACUCCCUCAGCAAUGGCCUCUUGUCAGCCUCUGCUGUGUGUUUGUGGGAAGUCAGUGUUGGCACGACCCGCCCUCACAUCUGAGCCCCCGUGUGGAUCCUCAGCAGUCGUCAACCUCCCUAUCCAUCAUCCUCCUGACCCUUGUCAAUUUGCCCACCGAACGGCCACUGUGCCAAGUGAGGGUCCGAGAGCAACACGAGACACAGUCCUCUCCAUUGCUGUACAAAGUCACAGUCCGGCUUUAUUUCCGGAGGCAAGCACUUUAUCAGUUCACUGGAUCUGGAGACCCCCAAAGAGGAAGAAGAGGAGAAAGAAUUGGUGGACACCCUAACAACAGUGAGAGAACUUUGAGUUGGUGGCGGCAUUGAUGGUCGGAUAGACAACUGUGGAUGAGCGAGCAAGAAAUGGAGGGGUAGAUGGGAAGUGGUCAGUCGGCAGGCACACUUCAAGUACCAGGAACUUUAAAGAGGGCUUCGGGGUUUCUUAGCAAAUUCUUUGUAGGCAUAUAUACCAGCUCCCCCUACGUCUUGCAGCUACGGAGUAGUACAAGCCAAUUUGUGUGUGUGUUAGAGACUACAAUGAGUAUGACACAUUUCAGGCCAGGUCACCGGAUAUCCAUCGAGUGACCCUUACUAGUCCUUCUUAAACCUGAAGUGGAGUAGCUACCCUUGUUGCUCUUGGUGUUGAAUCCCAAACUGGCUCCCGACAUGGGACUAGAAGAUCAACGAAAGAUGCUCACUGGAUCUGGAGACCCCCAAAGAGGAAGAAGAGGAGAAAGAAUUGGUGGACACCCUAACAACAGUGAGAGAGCACCUUGUGCAGUUGGGGAAGUGUGUAAAAGCCCAGGAAUGUCUAGAGUUGUGUGAUAAGCGCGUGUCUUCCAGAUCACAGACAGAAGAGGAUUGUACAGAGGAGCUCUUCGACUUUGUGCAUGCACGGAACCACUGUGUGGCCCCCAAACUCUCGAAAAGCUUGAAGUAAAUGUGCAGAUUCGUUUGCCUCAGCCUUGUCACUGGCAAUCAGGGACAGUUCCUUGUUGUGGUUUUAAACAUUUGUUUCUAAUGUAGUCAGUUCUUGAGAACCACAUUGAUUUUGGCAGGUAGCUUCUCGUCUGCAUACUUAGCAGUGAUUCCAUCUUAAUAAACUGAUCUGAAAACCUAAAACAAACAAACAAAAAAGAGGGCUUCGG